rnacentral:misc_RNA from 1 species
GCAAGAGAAACACAAUGAAAUAUCCAAUGCUACUCCUGAUUUGGCUAGUGCGCCACAACCUGAUUCUGAUUCUGAAUUGGACAUGUUAGACUUUCCUGAAGUUCCAAAGAUAUCGGUAUGUCCGCAGCCUACUAUAAAUGCUGGCUCUGCAUCGUCAAUGAUCCCACCUCCAUCUGUGUCGCCACCGCCUGAAACUGAUCUUUCUUCAUUGAAGUAUUCUGGUAUUCCUGAAACACCGCCCCAAGAUCUACACUUGAAACAUGAGGAGGUGACUUCAGUGAGAUCUGUUUCACCCAGCAACGAUCAAAUGAAUAUUUCUGUUGGUGAAGAUAAACAGUUUUUGCCUUUUAUUACUCCCCCAUCAUUGUCAUCUUCAUUCCCUCAUAGACAA